ensembl:lncRNA
AUGUGUAGUUUUGCAGUAGAACAAGCUCUUUCUAUGUGCAGAAGAUUGAGUUUACACUUUGCACAUUUGAAAUUGGUAGUAAACAAAACUGUCAUAAUUUGUAACUUAGUAAUUGUGUGUGUGUGUGUGUGUGUGUGUGUGUGUAGUUCAUUUGAACAGAACUCCUCCUUUACUGCCUUUAAAACACUUGGAAUUUAUGAAAUAUCACUGAUAACUCAAACUGAAAUAUUGACAGGGAGUCAGGCACAUAAAAAUAAAACAAUUUCAAGUUUUCUUUUUUUUGUUUGUUUGUUUUUUGUUUGCUUUUUAUGGAGACUAUUUGAAUAUAUUGGCCAUAAUGUAAUAAUGCUGUUCAUAAUGCAAGUUUUGCAACAAAACAUAAUGAACAUAAUUGUAUUUUGACUAAAUAUGUGUGUUUAUAACCUUAUAUGCAGAAUCCUUUAUUGUAAGGUUGAAACCAGUGAGCCUGAAUAUUUAAACAAGAUCAAACUGGAGGGAGAUGGAUUCAGUAAAACAUAUCUAAUUAGUUUAUAAUAUAUAUAUGUGUGUGUGUGUGUGUGUGUGUGUGUGUGUGUGUGUGUGUGUUGUGUGUGUGAGUGUGUAUUGAAGCAUAACACGUUUGUACCAUAAUAUUUGGUCAUAGCUCUGUAUAUUUUGAGAACAAGUGAUCACAGCAGAUUCAUCUUGAUUCUUCAAGAGGUCAUCAGGUGUCUGGAGAACAGUUUUAACAAGACAGACAGCUGUGGAAGAAAAGGAAAAGGCAGUUGUGCAUAACAUUUAGAAUAAAACAAUCUGUAUGAUUUUAGUUAGUGUAUAUUUGUUUAAUACCUGUAAACAUCAUUAGUAACACAGAUACUGUGAACAUCUUGAAAAUGUUCGUCAUAGUUUCUUUCAUCAAGUGCUUCUGCUUUGAAUUAAACACACCAGCAGGAGGAAGUGAUGUCAGCUAUACUGGGUCCUAACUGGUAAAACCUGGGAGAAAAAAAAGGGAUAAAAUGGGGAAAAGAAGAUUUAAACUGCACAUGAGUUGUGUAUAAAUAUCAGAACUGAUAUGCAACUCAGACUGUGCAUGCGUUUGAUUUACAGAAGGUGGACAGUGAUAUUGAAUCAUUGUCAUUUAUUAUAAUCUCUUAUGCAAUCAGCAUUUUUUUUAUUUUUUAUUUUAAUUGUUUUGCAUUGUAGGUAGGCUGAAAAUUUCUUGAAUCACACUGCCCCCUCUUGAUUAAUGCUUACUUCUAAUUUUAAGACACCUGUUUUUUGUACAGCUCUCCCCUGAGUUUGAUACACUGUGUAUUCACUCACUGAACAGAAAUAUGUGGCACUAUCAUUCGGCUGCAAAUUGUUAACAGUCAGAGAUCCAUUCUCAGCAACAGUUUUAUUGGCCACAAAUUUAUUCAGCUCAGAAUCUUCAUAUUCUGGUUCGGUGUAAGAGGUUGUGAAUGCUAUGAGUCUCAUAGUUUGUCCUUGCCGCUGUCUGUACCAGUACAUCAGUCUGUAUGUUGAGCCCUUAUUGUGUGUGCAGUUCAUAUGAACCGAACAGAUUGUUCACAGUCAGAGAUCUGGAAAAAAUUUGUUUGGAUCAAAAUCACCAUAUUCUGGUUUGGUGUACAUGCUUGUGAUCACGAUUAGAGUCAUAGUUUGUCCUGGACGCUGUCGAUACCAGUACAUCUGGACAAACAAGAAUCCUUUUUGUGUGUGCAGUUCAGUUGAACAGAACUCCCUUUUACUGCCAUUAAAACACUUGGAACUUGUGAAACAUCACUGUUACCUGCAAAUUUAAAUACAGAGAAGAAAACUUAAAUAUUUAAGUAGUAAUUUGAACUUUUGGUUUCUAUUAUCGUUUAUUCUAUAAUGUCUUUCAUGGAGAUUGCAUUUGAAUACCUUCACUGUGUUUCACAAUGUAGCAACAGG